AUUGAACGCUGGCGGCAGGCCUAACACAUGCAAGUCGAGCGGAUGAAGGGAGCUUGCUCCUGGAUUCAGCGGCGGACGGGUGAGCAAUGCCUAGGAAUCUGCCUGGUAGUGGGGGAUAACGUCCGGAAACGGGCGCUAAUACCGCAUACGUCCUGAGGGAGAAAGUGGGGGAUCUUCGGACCUCACGCUAUCAGAUGAGCCUAGGUCGGAUUAGCUAGUUGGUGGGGUAAAGGCCUACCAAGGCGACGAUCCGUAACUGGUCUGAGAGGAUGAUCAGUCACACUGGAACUGAGACACGGUCCAGACUCCUACGGGAGGCAGCAGUGGGGAAUAUUGGACAAUGGGCGAAAGCCUGAUCCAGCCAUGCCGCGUGUGUGAAGAAGGUCUUCGGAUUGUAAAGCACUUUAAGUUGGGGGGAAGGGCAGUAAGUUAAUACCUUGCUGUUUUGACGUUACCAACAGAAUAAGCACCGGCUAACUUCGUG
rnacentral:rRNA from 1 species